AUUUACCCCCCGGAGGUCACAGCAACAAAGCACCAUCUUGGACGCAUGUCACACUUGUACACACCACAUGCAGAAUCUGUUGGUGCCUUGAUGGUGGGCUUUCCAGCAUCCAAACUUGUUUUGCUCUGUCAACUGUUUGUUAGAAGAUUUCAUGCCAGAGAAAAUUGAGUUUCAUAUCCAUGCUCAUAGAUCACAGUCUGAAUACAACUUGCUGCACUCCACUUGGCAGGGACAUGGAUGAAUCUGGAGAACAUCAUCCUCAGCAAACUGACACAAGAACAGAAAAUGAAACACCGCAUAUUCUCACUCAUAG